rnacentral:sRNA from 1 species
AUUUUAAUUUCUAUUCUCUGAUUUAUCUGGGGUUUUAUGAUGGGUUUCAGUUUUACGUUUUGGGUAUUCAUGGAUGGGUUUUGCUUAUAUUUGAUUUUAUUUUGGUUUUCUUGAACUAGUGUGUGAGCCUGUUGUGGUUUCCAGAUUCAUUUUCCUUGCAGGUCUAAGUCCUCGCAAACAGUUGAUUUAAAGUUUUGCACUAG